GAUGAAGAACGCAGCAAAAUGCGAUAAGUAAUGUGAAUUGCAGAAUUCAGUGAAUCAUCGAAUCUUUGAACGCACAUUGCGCCCGCCAGUAUUCUGGCGGGCAUGCCUGUUCGAGCGUCAUUUCAACCCUCAAGCACAGCUUGGUGUUGGGACUCGCGUUAAUUCGCGUUCCUCAAAUUGAUUGGCGGUCACGUCGAGCUUCCAUAGCGUAGUAGUAAAACCCUCGUUACUGGUAAUCGUCGCGGCCACGCCGUUAAACCCCAACUUCUGAAUGUUGACCUCGGAUCAGGUAGGGAUACCCGCUGAACUUAAGCAUAUCAAUAAGCGGAGGA
rnacentral:misc_RNA from 1 species